GUCCUCCAUAUUGAGAUAUGGAAGACAUGCCCUGAGGGGCCGAUGCCAAAAAAUGGUCGAUAGUAUGCCAUGUGGCAUCUACGUCCGUCAUUAAUUUUAAGGUACGACUCAUACAAAUGUUCAUCUUUUUUUACAAGUAUUUCCAAGUGUGCUGCAACAAUCAACAUGCGCUAAUAUCGCCACAAAAAAAUCUAAUAGGAAUAUUUGUGUUAACUUUAUAAUUUAAAAUUGUGUUUUUUAUUGAAAACGAAUAGAGUGCUAUUAUUCUAUCCAUAGUUGGUUGAAAUGUCAUCCUCAUCCUUUUAUUUACUGGUGAUAACUUGAAUAAACGUACAGAAUGAAUUCCUUCGUUCCUUGGUGAAAAUGAUUUCAUGUUAAGAUAAGCAUAUAGAUAAAUGGAGAGGGAUUGAAUGAAAAGUGCUUGAGGUAGUCGAAAAUAUUGGACCAAGAUGACAAUAAAAACAAAACCGUUUGAUUCUAAAUAAAAGAUUUUAAUUGUUACAUUCCUCUAUCUUUUAAUGAAGCCAACUAUUCAAUGUAUCGUAGCAACCAAUCCUCAAAUUUUUAUUUUAUAAUUUUUCUCAUUUAGCUUUGUUAACAUUAAAGCAAUUCAUGAAAUUC